rnacentral:tRNA from 1 species
CGGAAUGUGGCUCAACUUGGCUAGAGCGCUCGCUUCGGGUGCGAGAGGUUCAGGGUUCAAAUCCCUGCAUUCCGACCA